rnacentral:misc_RNA from 1 species
CCCUAUGUCGCUCCGAUUCGUCCCUCCCCCCCACGCCCAAUCCCGCGCACUCCCCCUUCUCCCCUUUCCCCGGCCCCGGCCCUGAGGUUUGAAACCACCCCCGCCACGCGCCGGCUAUGUCCCCCCGACCCUUCGAUGCCUCUGCUGGUCGGGAUCCCCCCACCCCCCGUGCCCAUGUCGUGUCGUCUUUUCCCCAACUUUUCUAAGUAAAAAAAAAAAUACUAUCAGAAACUUGGCAAAGGCAUGGAAACCUGGAAGCCUGGAAGCUUGACCAAAGACACGUGACGCAUGCCACGGGGCCUUUCGUGGUGCCCGCCCGCGAGCCAAGCCAAGGUGCCACAGGGCCUGGUGGCCUCUCGCGAGCCAAGCCAAGGUGCCACGGGGCCUUGCUUGCUGCCCGCGAGCCAAGCCAAGGUGCCACAGGGCCUUGCAUGGUGGCCUCCCACGAGCCAAGCCAAAGUGCAUGCUUGGUGCCCGCGAGCCAAGCCAAGGUGCCACGAGGCCUUGCAUGGUGCCCGCCCGCGAGCCAAGACAAGGUGCCACGGGGCCUUGCUUGGUGCCCACGAGCCAAGCCAAGGUGGCACGGGGCCUUGCAUGGUGCCCGCCCGCGAGCCAAGCCAAGGUGCCACGGGGCCUUGCUUGGUGCCCGCGAGCCAAGCCAAGGUGGCACGGGGCCUUGCAUGGUGCCCUCCCGCGAGCCAAGCCAAGACACGCAACGCAUGCCACGGGGCCUUGCAUAGUGCCCGCCCGCGAGCCAUGCCUAGGUGGCACGGGGCCUUGCAUGGUGCCCGCCCGCGAGCCAAGCCAAGGUGCCACGGGGCCUUGCUUGGUGCCCGCGAGCCAAGCCAAGGUGCCACGGGGCCUUGCAUGGUGGCCGCACGCGAGCCAAGCCAAGACACGCGACGCGUGCCACGGUGCCUUGUUUGGUGCCCGCGAGCCAAGCCAAGGUGCCACGGGGCCUUGCUUGGUGCCCGCGAGCCAAGCCAAGGUGGCACGGGGCCUUGCAUGGUGCCCGCCCGCGAGCCGAGCCAAGACACGCGACGCGUGCCACGGUGCCUUGCUUGGUGCCCGCGAGCCAAGCCAAGGUGGCACGAGGCCUUGCAUGGUGCCCGCCCGCGAGCCAAGCCAAGGUGGCACGGGGCCUUGCAUGGUGCCCGCCCGCGAGCCAAGCCAAGGUGCCACGGGGCCUUGCUUGGUGCCCGCGAGCCAAGCCAAGGUGGCACGGGGCCUUGCAUGGUGCCCUCCCGCGAGCCAAGCCAAGACACGCGACGCAUGGCACGGGGCCUUGCAUGGUGCCCCCCCGCGAGCCAAGCCAAGGUGCCACGAGGCCUUGCAUGGUGCCCGCCCGCGAGCCAAGCCAAGGUGCCACGAGGCCUUGCUUGGUGCCCGCGAGCCAAGCCAAGGUGGCACGGGGCCUUGCAUGGUGCCCGCCCGCGAGCCAAGCCAAGGUGCCACGAGGCCUUGCUUGGUGCCCGCGAGCCAAGCCAAGGUGGCACGGGGCCUUGCUUGGUGCCCGCUAGCCAAGCCAAGGUGGCACGAGGCCUUGCAUGGUGCCCGCCCGCGAGCCAAGCCAAGGUGCCACGGGGCCUUGCUUGGUGCCCGCGAGCCAAGCCAAGGUGCCACGAGGCCUUGCCUUGUGCCCGCCCAUGAGCCAAGCCAAGACACGCGACGCGUGCCACAGGCCCUUGCUUGGUGCCCGCGAGCCAAGCCAAGGUGGCACGAGGCCUUGCAUGGUGCCCGCCCGUGAGCCAAGCCAAGACACGUGGCAUGGGGCCUUGCCUUGGUGCCCGCGAGCCGAGCCAAGACACGCGACGCGUGCCAUGUGGCCUUGCUUGGUGCCCACGAGCCGAGCCAAGACACAUGACGCGUGUCACCUCCCGUGCCACGAUAGCUACAAGGACCCUCGAUAUGGUGCUAGAGGUUGUGCUAGGACACGUGACCCAUGCCAUGAUGCGUGCCACGACCCCCAUGCCAUGGUGCCAGGACACCUAUAAUGACCCAUUCCAUGGUGGUAGAUGUCGUGCCAAGACACAUGGUGCGUGCCCUAUCUGGAUUUCGACCCUGAUGCCUUGACAAGGUUCCGGAUUAUGGUCUAUUGCUAAUCACGGAAUGUUAUUAAUCCAUGGAUUCAUGUUGCAAAGGUUGUUCGCUAUUUAUUUAUAUGGUUUUUUUAAGUAAAAAAAUUUUAAAAUAAAUUUUGUUUGGAGAAUCCUUGGAUUCUUUUUUAAAAUUUCUUUUUCCCAUAUCAAAUACAAUUUUUAAAAAUAUUUAAAUUAAUUUUUACUUAUUUUCCCCCCAUUUUUCUAAGUGAAAAAGCUAAAAAAAAAUAUUUUUUGGCCAAGAGAGCUUCACCAAUCCUUGAAUUCGUCUUCCAUAUAUUUUUCCCAUGUGAAAUACAUUUUUUAAAAAUAUUUACACUAUUUUUUCCUCAUUUUUACUAUUUUUUAAGUAAAAAAUUCGGGAAAAAAAAUUAUUUUUCAGAGCUAAGUUGCAUUAAUUCAUGGAUUCCUAUUCCAGAUAUUUUUCCCAUGUGAAAUACAAUUUUUAAAAAUAUUUUCACUAUUUUUUGGUAUUUUUUACUAUUUUUACCUAUUUUUCCCUAUUUUUCGGACAAAAAAAUUAAAAUAAAUAUUUUCUGGGCCGAAAUUUUUUUUUUUUUUUUUUCCUUGGGUUCAUAUAAUUAUUAUAAAGAGAUUCAGCAAAAAAAACGGAAUUAAAAACUCUUUUUUCAUUAAAAAAUGGCAUUAUGUCUCCUCAAGCAUGGGUGAUGUCUCCUCAAGGCAUUUCCAAAAUGGCCCAAAAUGCUCUUUAAGGGGGGGGUGCUGUCCUCAAUGGGCUGGCAGCACCACCCGCCCAGGCACGCUGCAGCGCGUGCCGCCCUUGGCGUGCAGGCCGCCCAUGCCACCCUAGGCAUGGCGCCCCCGCAUAUGCCACCCUCAAGCCCACGACACGCUAAUGCGAAGAGAGCACGCCCUCGACACCGUGGGGAGCCCUCGCACGCAACAGCAGUCACCCCGUGCCCCGUACACGCUGCACCCCGGACGCGUCCCAUGCCCCCCAUGCGGACACGCCCUCCCCCCCAUGCAACGAGUGCCCUCCCCGCGCACUCGGCCCCGUCUCGGCUCGACCCCUCGAGCGAGCAUGUUGCCUCGAAUAAACGUGCCAAUGGCCAACGUCGCGGCUCACCCCGGGGGGCUCACCCAUGCCUCCCGCCCGACGCUGCCCAUCAAAAGGCACACGGAUGCCCCUCCCCCCAUGCAACGAGUGCCCUCCCCGGGUGUGCUCGGCCCCCCGUCUCGGCUCGUCGAGGAGCCCUCAAGCCCUCGAGCGAGCAUGUUGCCUCGGAAAAAACGUGCCAGUGGCCAACGUCGCGGCUCACCCCGGGGGGCUCACCCAUGCCUCCCGCCCGACAUUGCCCAUCGAAAGGCACACGGAUGCCCCUCCCCCCCAUGCAACGAGUGCCCUCCCCGAGCACUCGGCCCCGUCCCGGCUCGUCGAGGAGCCCUCAAGCCCUCGAGCGAGCAUGUUGCCUCGGAAAGGAGCCAGAUGCAUCGUCGCCAUGCCUAUAUCGGUCCUACGAAGGCUUCACUCGUUGCUCCCGUGUGCUGGUCAGGAGUCGCCUCCGGACGAGUCGCGGUUCGAUGCGUGAUGCCGUGUCGUAGUGAACCUGAUGGCGUGUGAGUGGUGUUUGGGUCGCGUGGGUCGGCAGGCUCCUUGCUCGUGCAACGAACUGUCGCCGCACCGCCCUCUUCAUUCUAAGCCUCAAGCGUCGCGAUGCCGUGGUUCCUGUGUUGCCUUCCUAACGGAUGGAAUUGUCCCUCGAACGUUGCCUAUCUCCGCCCGGCUCCCGCUCACGCGGUGCGGGCGGACCUCGAAAGCGGUCGCCGCGUCCCAUGGUCRCCCCACGCAUGCRCACGCAUGAGAGGGGUCGAGCAUGGCCCGCGACGGCCGCUCGUGCUCUCGGAUGCGGAACCUUAAAACGRGCGUGGGGUCUCUCGGGAUCCCGUACUCGCUCGAGCUAAGCGUUCGUCGCUAGACGCGUACGACGGCCGUCCCCGUCUUUGCCCUCCCGUCCCGCUCCCCUCGGGGGGCGWCGGUCAGGCGCAUGCGGUGCCGGCGUCGCACAGGAAUGC